rnacentral:lncRNA from 1 species
CGUAAACAGCGGAGAGAAAGCAGCAGAUCCGGUCACUGCCUUCCCCAGCCCUUUCGGCUCCUUGCAAAGAGCGAGACUCUUCCAUCGAGUGUUUCACUCCAAGCCCAGCACUUCCCAACUCCUGCAGCUCUGGCGCCCUGAAGGUCAGUGCAGCGCUGGGAUCAUGGCUGGAGAGCGGCAGCGACGCUUGCGAGGGGGAUGGCAUGUGCCCGCCUGUUUCUGACCUGGAGCAGCCAGGGGCAGGCCCUGGGGACCUACAGAGGCUGCAGGAUGCCAGCACGGCCGUCCUGGAAAGGCUCAUGGAGCUGGAGGCUGAAGUCAAGUACAUCAGCACUGAGCUGCGGGCAGAGAAAUUACUGUGGAGCAGCAGGUACCUGGAGCUGCUGAGGGAGCAGCAGGAGCUCCAUCAACAGUUCCAGGAGUGGGGACGGAGCCAGGGGCCCAAGGCCAAGGACAUGCAGAGCAAAGCCGAGGCUCCUAGUCUGGAUGGAACUGAUGGGUGGUGCAUGGGAGACAGUGGCCUCCGGAUGCCGCCAGCACCUGGCUGCCCAGGGCCCAGCCACACCCUGGUACCCGGGCAGCCGUGCCAUGUUCACCACGGGCCAUGCACCUCGGGCACAGAACCAAGGUCCUGCUGCAGUCAGGCGGGAUUGGUGUGGGCACCAUCCGGUACCUGGGGGUCUUCCCCGACCAGGCCGAGUUCUCCGUGGGAGUGGAGCUAG